rnacentral:rRNA from 1 species
AUUGAACGCUGGCGGAAUGCUUUACACAUGCAAGUCGAACGGCAGCACGGGGGCAACCCUGGUGGCGAGUGGCGAACGGGUGAGUAAUGUAUCGGAACGUGCCCAGUCGUGGGGGAUAACGUAGUGAAAAUUACGCUAAUACCGCAUACGAUCUACGGAUGAAAGCGGGGGAUCGCAAGACCUCGAGCGAUUGGAGCGGCCGAUAUCAGAUUAGGUAGUUGGUGGGGUAAAGGCUCACCAAGCCAACGAUCUGUAGCUGGUCUGAGAGGACGACCAGCCACACUGGAACUGAGACACGGUCCAGACUCCUACGGGAGGCAGCAGUGGGGAAUUUUGGACAAUGGGCGAAAGCCUGAUCCAGCCAUUCCGCGUGCAGGAUGAAGGCCUUCGGGUUGUAAACUGCUUUUGUACGGAGCGAAAAGGCUCUCUCUAAUACAGGGGGCUCAUGACGGUACCGUAAGAAUAAGCACCGGCUAACUACGUGCCAGCAGCCGCCGCCGUAA